rnacentral:rRNA from 12 species
CAGAACCUUACCUGGACUUGACAUGGUAGGAUUAGCCUUGGGAAACCAGGGUGACACUCUUCGGAGCGGAACUAUCACAGGUGUUGCAUGGCUGUCGUCAGCUCGUGCCGUGAGGUGUUGGGUUAAGUCCCAUAACGAGCGAAACCUUUAUCUUUAGUUGCCAGCGAGUAAUGUCGGGGACUCUAGAGAGACUGCCCACGUUAAGUGGGAGGAAGGCGGAGACGACGUCAAGUCAUCAUGGCCCUUAUGUCCAGGGCUACACACG